UGAACAUUUUCCUGAACAGUGUGAUUACAUAAUCCUUAUAAAAGAAGAUAUGCAGCAACAGAACAUGACCCAUGCCGCAAGACAUGAAAAGUAUAUUGCGGUUUUGUGAACAUUUUCCUGAAUAGUGUGAUAGCAUAAUCCUGAUAAAAGAAGGCAAAGCAGCAUACAGUUAAAGCUUAUGGAAUCAUCUGCCUGUUUGACAAGGGUGCAUCUUGAUGGGACGACAGUCAAAUCUCUCUUCAAGAUAACAAGAAACUUUUGAUACACUA